UGCCUCGGCGGGCCCCGCGCCCGCCGACGGCCCCCCUGAACGCUGUCUGAAGUUGCAGUCUGAGACCUAUAACGAAAUUAGUUAAAACUUUCAACAACGGAUCUCUUGGUUCCGGCAUCGAUGAAGAACGCAGCGAAAUGCGAUAACUAAUGUGAAUUGCAGAAUUCAGUGAAUCAUCGAGUCUUUGAACGCACAUUGCGCCCUCUGGUAUUCCGGAGGGCAUGCCUGUCCGAGCGUCAUUGCUGCCCUCAAGCCCGGCUUGUGUGUUGGGCCCCGUCCCCCCCGCCGGGGGGACGGGCCCGAAAGGCAGCGGCGGCACCGCGUCCGGUCCUCGAGCGUAUGGGGCUUCGUCACCCGCUCUAGUAGGCCCGGCCGGCGCCAGCCGACCCCCAACCUUUAAUUAUCUCAGGUUGACCUCGGAUCAGGUAGGGAUACCCGCUGAACUUAAGCAUAUCAAUAAACGGAGGAA
rnacentral:rRNA from 1 species